UUUUAAAAAGGCAAUUAGAUUGGAAGGAUACAGAGACGAUUAGCAUGGUCCCUGUGCAAGAAUGACUCGCAAAUUCGUGAAGCGUUCCAUAUUUAA
rnacentral:snRNA from 1 species